GUGGGGAAUAUUGGACAAUGGCCGAGAGGCUGAUCCAGCCAUGCCGCGUGCGGGAAGACGGCCCUAUGGGUUGUAAACCGCUUUUGUUGGGGAGCAAUAAGGUCCACGUGUGGAUCGAUGAGAGUACCCAGCGAAUAAGCAUCGGCUAACUCCGUGCCAGCAGCCGCGGUAAUACGGAGGAUGCAAGCGUUAUCCGGAUUUAUUGGGUUUAAAGGGUGCGUAGGCGGAUGCUUAAGCGUGAGGUGAAAUGCCCGGGCUCAACCUGGGAACUGCCUCGCGAACUGGGUAUCUGGAAUGUCCGUGCCGUGGGAGGAAUGUGUGGUGUAGCGGUGAAAUGCAUAGAGAUCACACAGAACACCGAUUGCGAAGGCAUCUCACGAACGGAUGAUUGACGCUGAGGCACGAAAGCGUGGGGAUCAAACAGG
rnacentral:rRNA from 1 species